ensembl:lncRNA
CUGAUUGAUCAUAUAGUGGAGCACAGUCAUGGUGAAAGCAGCAUGGUUGUGCUCCUUUUUCAUUCCCCCUGACCCAAUUGAACAUCCCAGUCCUUUCCUCCAUAAUUUCUAGUGUUCACCUAACCCUUCUGGAGGGCAGAUACAAUUCAUUCACCUAGUAAAACUUUCAUGGAUGGAUAUGACAAGCACCAGAGCUAGUACAAGAGAAACAAAAGGAGUGACUGGCCACAUGAGUAGUAGAAGCAAUACUGUCUCCGUUUAUUUACAGUAAAUUGGUGUAAUCCAUCUCACUAAGCCACUGGUGUAGCCCAAACUUAACUCUCCUCUUCCAAAAACACCCAGUCCACAAAGUAAAUAAACAAACAAACAAAUAAGGUUAUUUAAAUUGUUUGAACUCAUAUUUUGGGGGAGGAAAAAACUCAGCAUGGUACGGGGCUAUAUAAUUAGCUCUUUCAGGACGUAAGGGGAUGGGAAUACCCAAAGUAAGGGAGGAUGAUCACAAGCAGACAAGGACAAUAACCUUAUACCUUGGUAUCUGGAGUAACAUGUCUGAUCACAGCCUAAGACCACAAGUGAAGAGCUAGAGGUACAAGUUUACUUAGCUCACACAUCAGCCAUCGCUCCUGGCCACAUUGCAGCAUUGUAACCAUGUUGCGUCUGUGGUUCGGUAUACUUGCAUUUGUAAUUGCAGGCUCAGCACCCACUCUUUUAAAGUCCGAGCACUGUAUCUAAUUUCCAGUACUGCCCUGCCUAACAGUCAUGAGCAAGGUGCCAGUUAAAGCUAUGCGAUGAUGCUAUUAUUAUAGCUAGAGAACAAGGAAAAGAUCUUGGCAGCCCAGAUGACGGACGACAGACACAUGCAUGGGUAGACACAUGCUACGAAAAAUUGCACUUACUAUACUGAAAGCCCAGCUUCGCUGAACUGCCACUUGAAUGGCAGAGGCUUCUCAGAUGAGUCAGACCUUUAUGAGCCUUCCACGUUUGCAGUUUGGAACAGAAAAUAUGCUUCUCUUUCAGCUAAAUUUUUCCACUUGUUACUCUGAUGCAGAAAAAUUUUAGAUCUCCGUCACCAAUUGGUUUAAAGGGGGCACAAAGGACUGUCCCUACCUCAUUUGCCUAUCAGUUAAUUAGCAUGCAGAAUUUUUGUGUUGUAGAUAAAGGUUUUUCUUCUGUUUCUUUCCUUUGAUUGAGCUCUUGAAAGCUAUUGCUGAAGAUAGAUAUCCUGAAAGAAAUGAGACAGUACAGCCACUGACACCCUCAGUCAUAGAGCAGCUUUUUGCAUGUGAUUGGGGAAUAGAGAGUCUUGCUUGGAUUUCCAGCCACAUGGAUGUUAAAGAAGAAGAAAAAAAAUGGAAGUAACCUUCCACCUAUUUCAUAGCAUGCUCUGAAAAGCAAGCACCAUCCCAAUGGAGACUAGAGGUUUACCAGUAAAAGGUAAUCAGGGCAAGUCCCAAGAUCUUUAAAGAUCCCGAGCACUUUUAAGAAAGAAUCAAGUAUGUGAUUCAACGUCUCUGGCAGAACACCAGACACGUAAAUGCCCUCUGCCCCCCGCUUACCCAGAGCCAUCGGCAGGAUAAAAGACUGAGCUAUCUCGAAGUGCCGCAAUACAAGAUGUAACAGCUUCCUACCAACUUGGAAAUGAUGCAUUUUGCUGUACCAUCUGAAGCUCAGAUCUAUCUCAUCAAAUAUCGUAAAUGGCUGUAAAAGUGGACAGACGUGGUCCUACCUUGCAGAUGGGGACCUCUAAAGAACAUACAUGAGGGUCUCUUCAGUCAGAGGCAUUUUGCUGCCACCUUUCAGAGGUCACAAGAUCCAGUAUCCAGCAGGGAUGUAAGCAGACUGGCUGCAACAACAUUUUGGUGAGCUUUGCCCUUAUCCCACAAAACAAGACAUGAAACAUAUCCAUACCACAUUAUUCAAAGAAUGUUUUGCAGAAACAUAUUCCAGCCCUCUGUCUUGCUCCACCUAGCCCAUGUAUCUGUUUGCACUGCAUAGAGUAAAUAGAGAGACCCACGGAGUACACUAUGUCAUUAAAUUUACCUAAUUUUCAACCAUCCAACUAAGUAAUUGCUAAAUUAUCUAUAUUUAGGAGUAUCCUAAAUAUCCUCUAGAGUAACACUCUAGAGGAAGAUGUUGGUAAUCAGUUUCCCAUCUGACUCUGUACCCUGAUGUAAUUUUAGUAAAAUAACAUAACAUCUUCCCUGGUCCGUUAGAGGGAAGGUGCUUUGCCUUGGAGAAAGUUACUUUUUACAUCUCAAAUCCUCAGUUUUUGAGAGUGUCAGCCCUAGAAAAGGCCAUUAAGUCCAUGAUGUUGUUACAUGCUAUACAAGGGUAAACUAUUAUGAAAGCAUAUUCUGAUUAAGUCUGUAAUUCCUUAUUGGAAAACCACUAAACCUUCCACAGCAAUGAUAAAAAGCAUGUGGUGAACAGCAUUU